ACGCUGGCGGCAGGCCUAACACAUGCAAGUCGAGCGGUAGAGAGAAGCUUGCUUCUCUUGAGAGCGGCGGACGGGUGAGUGAUGCCUAGGAAUCUGCCUGGUAGUGGGGGAUAACGUUCGGAAACGGACGCUAAUACCGCAUACGUCCUACGGGGGAAAGCAGGGGACCUUCGGGCCUUGCGCUAUCAGAUGAGCCUAGGUCGGAUUAGCUAGUUGGUGAGGUAAUGGCUCACCAAGGCGACGAUCCGUAACUGGUCUGAGAGGAUGAUCAGUCACACUGGAACUGAGACACGGUCCAGACUCCUACGGGAGGCAGCAGUGGGGAAUAUUGGACAAUGGGCGAAAGCCUGAUCCAGCCAUGCCGCGUGUGUGAAGAAGGUCUUCGGAUUGUAAAGCACUUUAAGUUGGGAGGAAGGGCAGUUACCUAAUACGUGAUUGUUUUGACGUUACCGACAGAAUAAGCACCGGCUAACUCUGUGCCAGCAGCCGCGGUAGUACAGAGGGUGCAAGCGUUAAUCGGAAUUACUGGGCGUAAAGCGCGCGUAGGUGGUUUGUUAAGUUGGAUGUGAAAUCCCCGGGCUCAACCUGGGAACUGCAUUCAAAACUGACUGACUAGAGUGUGGUAGAGGGUGGUGGAAUUUCCUGUGUAGCGGUGAAAUGCGUAGAUAUAGGAAGGAACACCAGUGGCGAAGGCGACCACCUGGACCAACACUGACACUGAGGUGCGAAAGCGUGGGGAGCAAAC
rnacentral:rRNA from 1 species